UGUAGUCAUACGCUCGUCUCAAAGAUUAAGCCAUGCAUGUGUAAGUGUAAAUGUAAUAGUUUGGAACUGCGAAUGGCUCAUUAUAUCAGUUAUAGUUUAUUUGGUGAAGUGUACUACUUGGAUAACCGUAGUAAUUCUAGGGCUAAUACAUGAGAAAGUCCUCUGGUGAGGUGUGUUUAUUAGAAUGAAAACCAUAUGCUUCGGCAUGAUAGUGAGUAAUAGUAACCUAUCGUAUCGCAUGCUUAAUGUAGCGAUGAGUCUUUCAAGUUUCUGCCCUAUCAGCUUUCGAUGGUAGUAUAUGGGCCUACCAUGGCAGUAACGGGUAACGAAGAA
rnacentral:rRNA from 1 species